rnacentral:rRNA from 1 species
UACGGAGGAUGCAAGCGUUAUCCGGAAUGAUUGGGCGUAAAGGGUCCGCAGGUGGCAAUGUGUGUCUGCUGUCAAAGAAUGAGGCUUAACCUCAUCAAGGCAGUGGAAACUACAUAGCUAGAGUACGGUCGGGGUAGAAGGAAUUCCUGGUGUAGCGGUGAAAUGCGCAGAUAUCAGGAAGAACACCCGUGGCGAAAGCGGCUCUCUGGGACGGUACUGACGCUGAGACGCGAAAGCGUGGGGAGCGAACAGG